UACGGGGGGGGGCAAGCGUUGUUCGGAAUUACUGGGCGUAAAGGGCUCGUAGGUGGCCAACUAAGUCGGACGUGAAAUCCCUCGGCUUAACCGGGGGAACUGCCCAUCCAGACUGCUUGGCUUGAGACCGGGAGAGGUGAGUGGAAUUCCCAGUGUAGCGGUGAAAUGCGUAGAUAUUGGGAGGAACACCAGUGGCGAAGGCGGCUCACUGGACCGGUACUGACGCUGAGGCGGCGAAAGCGUGGGGAGCAAACGGG
rnacentral:rRNA from 1 species